rnacentral:rRNA from 1 species
ACGGAAGGCAGCAGUGGGGGAUAUUGCACAAUGGGGGAAACCCUGAUGCAGCGACGCCGCGUGAGUGAUGAAGUAUUUCGGUAUGUAAAGCUCUAUCAGCAAGGAAGAAAUGACGGUACUUGACUAAGAAGCCCCGGCUAACUACGUGCCAGCAGCCGCGGUAAUACGUAGGGGGCAAGCGUUAUCCGGAUUUACUGGGUGUAAAGGGAGCGUAGACGGCAUGGCAAGUCUGAAGUGAAAUGCCAGGGCUUAACCCUGGAACUGCUUUGGAAACUGUCUAGCUAGAGUGCAGGAGAGGUAAGCGGAAUUCCUAGUGUAGCGGUGAAAUGCGUAGAUAUUAGGAGGAACACCAGUGGCGAAGGCGGCUUACUGGACUGUAACUGACGUUGAGGCUCGAAGGUGUGGGGAGCAAACAGGAUUAGAUACCCUGGUA